GGGCGGUUAACUCAGCGGGAGAGUGCUACCCUUACAAGGUAGAAGCCGCAGGUUCGAUCCCUGCACCGCCCA
rnacentral:tRNA from 1 species